rnacentral:tRNA from 1 species
UGGUCUAUUAGCUCAGUCGGUAGAGCACCUGACUUUCGAGCAGGGGGUCACAGGUUCGAGCCCUGUUGGUCCCACCA